UACGAAGGGGGCUAGCGUUGCUCGGAAUCACUGGGCGUAAAGCGCACGUAGGCGGAUUGCUAAGUCAGGGGUGAAAUCCUGGAGCUCAACUCCAGAACUGCCUUUGAUACUGGCAACCUUGAGUCCGGGAGAGGUGAGUGGAAUUCCGAGUGUAGAGGUGAAAUUCGUAGAUAUUCGGAAGAACACCAAUGGCGAAAGCAGCUCUCUGGGACGGUACUGACGCUGAGACGCGAAAGCGUGGGGAGCGAACAGG
rnacentral:rRNA from 1 species